rnacentral:rRNA from 1 species
UGGGGGAUAUUGCACAAUGGGGGGAACCCGUGAUGCAGCGACGCCGCGUGGGUGAAGAAGCGCCUCGGCGCGUAAAGCCCUGUCAGCAGGGAAGAAAAUGACGGUACCUGAAGAAGAAGCCCCGGCUAACUACGUGCCAGCACCGCGGUAAUAGUCGUCU